AUGUCUCGCGAGCGGCCCCCCCGCACGGACAUACCCCGCAACCUGAGCUUCAUCGCGGCGCUGACAGAGAGAGCCUACUACCGCAGCCAGCGGCCCAGCCUCGAGGAGGAGCCGGAGGAGGAGCCAGGGGAGGGCGGGACACGCCUCGGGGCCCGAUCCCGCACUCACGCUUCGAGUCGGGGCCGCCGGGCUCGCUCAGCACCCGCCGGAGGCGGCGGGGCCAGAGCACCCCGGAGCCGCAGCCCCGACACCCGCAAGAGAGUGCGUUUCGCCGACGCGCUGGGGCUGGAGCUGGCCGCCGUGCGCCGCUUCCGCCCCGGAGAGCUGCCCCGGGUUCCCCGCCACGUGCAGGUCCAGCUGCAGAGGGACGCCCUCCGCCACUUCGCACCGUGCCAGCCCCGCGCCCGCAGCCUCCAGGAGGCGCGUGCCGCUCUGGAGCCUGCCAGCGAGCCCGGCUUCGCGGCCCGUUUGCAGGCGCAGUGCAUCUGCCUAGAACGCGUCGAGGCGGGCCCGCUGGGCGUGGCCGGGAGCGCGCGGGUACUGGACCUUGCCUACGAGAAGCGCGUGAGCGUGCGCUGGAGCGCCGACGGCUGGCGGAGCCAACGCGAAGCGCCUGCCUCUUACGCCGGCCCGGCCCCGCCCCCUCCCCGCGCCGAUCGCUUUGCCUUUCGCCUGCCCGCGCCGCCCAUUGGGGGCGCCCUGCUUUUUGCCUUGCGCUACCGCGUGACAGGCCACGAGUUCUGGGACAACAACGGCGGCCGUGACUAUGCUCUACGUGGGCCCGAGCACCCGGGCAGUGGCGGAACCCCGGAGCCUCAGGGCUGGAUCCACUUUAUCUGAGACGACUGCGGUCAACUGCGGAAAUACCAAAGGCACCCGGGGGUGGAGGAGCCCGAAGAUUUGGCGGGGGAGAACGGGAGAAGCCGAGUUUGGCGGGGAAUUGUCCAAGAGAGUCAAGUGGGAAUGUGGAAAAGGGGUGGAAAAUCUACUUUUUCUCCAAGACCAUGGUUGAUCCACCUUCCUCCCUCAGGCUCCUUCUUGACAGUCUUCUAGAAGGGAGAAGAGGGAAAAGAAGCAUUUCCUGAUGCAGAUGAACAAGGAGCUCCCAGGUAACCAGCUACCUACCCCCUUUUCUGUCUUACUGAUUUCUCAAGAAAAAUUUCUGAAACCCCUUUUUCCUUCUAGUAAGAGUGUAUGCGCAUGUACCCGUACAUGCGUUUGGAAUAUAGUAUGAGGCUUUUUAUCAUGCCCCUCCUGUGCAAAGUCUUAAUCCUUUGAAGAAAGAUGGCUGAAAGAGAGGAACCCUGAGUCAUUCCUCAAAAAAAUGCCCAUUUAAACAUCAUCCUUCUGGUGAAGAAAACAGUUUGAUGCAUCUUAUGGAUCACCUUCAGGUCAAAGUUCCAGCAGAGUGAAAAGAGAAACUACACUGGAAGCCACCAAGCAUGCACUUAGUCAUCAGUGAAGAGCCCAAGGGAGGGUAAUGGAGAGGGAGGUUGGGUCGAGGCUCAGUGUGUCGUAAUCUCUUGCUUAAUAUGUAUGCAUUACUGUUAGGUUGUAUUAACAGUUGUAAUAGCUCACAUUUACUUAUUUAUUCACUAAAAUCUGGUGUCUUGCAUGCAUUAUAAUAUUAUCCCUGUUUUAGAGAUUGGAAACAGCUCAGAAAAAUUCAGUAAUUUGUUUAAGAUCACACAGUAGUAAAUGGCAAAGCUAAGAUUAUGAACCCAGGAAAUCUCCAGAGCCUCUGUGCUUAACCAUGAUGUUAUAUUUUUUCCUUUACAAACAAAAUUUAAAACCUUGUCAUAUGUCAUCUUAUUAGGGAAAAAGAACACAGUUUCUAAUUGUGUUCUACCUUCCCAUCCUCCGUCUCCGGAACUGGCUUGGAAAAGGCAAAGCACUUAGGGUACCAAGCUUCAUUUCCUUCUAGGAGCUUGCUGCUGUCUCCUGUGCUAGUGUCCUAGCUCUUCAUGAUCAGUAAGGGACCAACCCUCCUGCCUGAUAGAGAACUUGGAAUCCAUUUGAACCCAUACAAUGGGAUUCUCCCCUGAUCCUAGCCAACCCUCUAUACCUGUUGGUGUGCCAAUCCCAUUUACACUCUCCCCACUAGCCUUAAAAAGGCCAGUUGCCUAAAUUCUGCUAGAAGGAUUCCUGACUAGGACAAUUGCUGGAUGCUCUGUGUGUUUGAGCCCUCUCUUAGAGCCCUGGUAUUAGUGGAUAAAUGCAGGCUGGGUGGGGGCAGGGAACCAAGGAUAAUCCAUUGUUCUCGGUAAGAAGUACUGUGGCGCACUUAUGCCCUCAUUCUCAGCUUUAUAGACCCAACACUUGAGUCUCCUUGUUCUUCGCAAUAGAGCUGCCCCAAUGCCUGAGGGGAAACUGAUAGCCUAAUUUGAAGCCGGACAUACUAGGAGUGUUAAGCAUUGUGGUGGGGACUUUCCCCUAAAGGCUGAUGACUUUAAUUUACGGUAUAAUAUGUCAGCUGUGGACAGGGAAGUGCUGUAAGAGAAAAUAUUACCAUGGUCAGGGGCUUGCUUGGGUCCUUAAAGCAACACAGCAGAAACACUGUUGCCCUUUCCUCUCAUCCAGACAUUAGAUGUUUCAUAGCCUUCCUCUUUUAUCUUUGUUUCUCUUUAUGAAUGUAGGCUGUCAUUUCUCUUCAUAAUAAACCCUAAUUCUUCUACUUUCCAAUCUAACUCCCAUAUUCGUUGCUUCUAACUCCUGUGUUUCUCUGGAGCUCCCCUGGAUCCUUGUAAUCCACAGGUCAUAGAAUCAGAGACCUGAAACAAGGCUUGUCUUUAGAGAUUAUGGGGUCCAGGCUUCUAGUAUAGAUGGGGACAUAGAUCCAGAGACGAAAUGUGACUCCAGCAGGGUCAAAGAACUUUUUUCUAGUACAGCUCAAGACAGGACUUAAACCCAGUCCUCUUGACCACAUUCCCAGGCUAUGAAACAGGCCUCUGCACAUUCAGAACCACCCUUUUUCAUGGCAAGAGAUAGUAUCAGAAACGUUUCAUUUUCUGUUACUGGUUUCUAUUUCCUUUCCUAUCCAGGCAUAAGGGGAAACUAAAGGGAAUGGUAGUUUUCUCUCUGUCCCCAUCCUUGGCAUUUCUUUUGUUGGUAUUACUAAAGUUGCUAAAAAGAUUGCAUAAUCCACCCAUUGAAUAGCUAACCUGGAUGGGAAAGGAAAUUGCCCUGUGAACUCCCCCUAAACUGCUGUUCUCAUCAGGCCCAGAGCCUUCUCACCCCUUCAUAGGGCAGCCCUAUUCACUGGGCCCCAAAACCAAUAGUAUUGUGUCUCACUUUAGCUUUCUCAUGCACCA